rnacentral:rRNA from 1 species
UACGUAGGGUGCAAGCGUUGUCCGGAAUUAUUGGGCGUAAAGAGCUCGUAGGCGGUCUGUCGCGUCGGCUGUGAAAUCCCGGAGCUCAACUCCGGGUCUGCAGUCGAUACGGGCAAACUGGAGUACUGCAGGGGAGACUGGAAUUCCUGGUGUAGCGGUGAAAUGCGCAGAUAUCAGGAGGAACACCGGUGGCGAAGGCGGGUCUCUGGGCAGUAACUGGCGCUGAGGAGCGAAAGCGUGGGGAGCGAACAGG